GUGGUACGCGAGCUGGGUUUAGAACGUCGUGAGACAGUUCGGUCCCUAUCUGCCGUGGGCGUUGGAAGAUUGAAGGGGGCUGCUCCUAGUACGAGAGGACCGGAGUGGACGAACCUCUGGUGUUCGGGUUGUGUCGCCAGACGCAUUGCCCGGUAGCUAAGUUCGGAAUCGAUAACCGCUGAAAGCAUCUAAGCGGGAAGCGAGCCCUGAGAUGAGUCUUCCCUGAUACUUUAAGUAUCCUAAAGGGUUGUUCGAGACUAGAACGUUGAUAGGCAGGGUGUGUAAGCGUUGUGAGGCGUUGAGCUAACCUGUACUAAUUGCCCGUGAGGCUUAACCAUACAACACCCAAGGGGUUU
rnacentral:rRNA from 1 species